CCUACGGGUGGCAGCAGUGAGGAAUAUUGGUCAAUGGGCGGAAGCCUGAACCAGCAAAGUCGCGUGAGGGAAUAAGGCCCUACGGGUCGUAAACCUCUUUUGCCGGGGAGCAAGGGCGGGGACGUGUCCCGGCCCGGAGAGUACCCGGAGAAAAAGCAUCGGCUAACUCCGUGACAGCAGCCGCGGUAAUACGGGGGAUGCGAGCGUUAUUCGGAGUUAUUGGGUUUAAAGGGUGCGUAGGCGGGCUUCAAAGUCAGCGGUAAAAAUUCGGGGCUCAACCCCGUCCGGCCGUUGAAACUGGGGUCCUUGAGUGGGCGAGAGGAAGGCGGAAUGCGUGGUGUAGCGGUGAAAUGCAUAGAUAUCACGCAGAACCCCGAUUGCGAAGGCAGCCUUCCGGCGCCCUACUGACGCUGAGGCACGAAAGUGCGGGGAUCGAACAGGAUUAGAUACCCCAGUAGUC
rnacentral:rRNA from 1 species